rfam:Triticum aestivum genome assembly, contig: Triticum_aestivum_CS42_TGACv1_scaffold_223058_3B
CAACUACUCCCUCUGUCCCAAAUUUCUUGUCUUAGAUUUGUCUAGAUACUGAUGUAUCUAAUACUAAAAUGUGACUUGAUACAUCCGUAUCUAGACAAAUCUAAGACAAGAAUUUUUGGACUUAGGGAGUACUUU